CUUUUCUUUCAGGGUCAGUGAAACCCAGAGAUGUCUUGCCUGUGUCUCUUGUCUCCCCUCCGAGCACCAAGACAAAAUGCCAUUCUAGGCACCAUCAUGUAGAACUGCAGAUGUCUGAAACUUUCCUUCUAAGGAGUCCCUUGGCCAGUAGAACCACCCUCCUAACAGGCCAUCUGCCUGUGAGAAGAACCUCCCUCUGUCUUCUACCAAGGAAAGCACCAGCUGGAUCAGCCUCAUCCCAAGCUCAAGAGAAUUAUCCAAAGCUAGCCAAUUGUGGAGUGGAGAGACAGCAAACUUUAUGUCCAUUCAGGCUGCUAUGCCCAGCCACGUUUACACCUCCACUGAGGGAGACCCUUGGGUGGCACUAGGGAAGGGUUGAAAACUUCUUCUAAAACUCUUCCAAAAAAGCUGUCUUAAGUCUGUGGGACAGUGGAGAAUGUAUCAGGAGAGAGGAUAUGUGCCAUGGACAUGCUCACCAUUCCUUGCUGCCCCAUAGUGCUGACAGUCUCCCAAGAGAACAAAAUUCCAGUGGGAGCUCAGUGAGACU